GUUUUUCGGGGCGAACUUCACGUGGGGCGCGAGGACUACAAGUCCCGUGAUGCUCCGCGGAGGGAGGAAGCGGGAAGGGCGUGUCCAUCCGCGCGGUGCGCGCUGGCCUGCAAGAUAAACUGCAUCUGGCUCUGGCCAUUCUGGGAACCUCUCUUUCCUCCUGAAGUCCCAAAUCUUCUGCUGGUCAAAUGCUACCAAACCCCAACAACCAUGAUAUUUGGGAAACUUCCUCUUUGCUUCUUUUCCCCUUCCAAGUCCUUCAUUUCUUGGCUCAAGGAGGGAAAGGCUAUUUGCACCAAAGUGAUCCCAAAACCUUCCCCUCCCCUUUGUCCCAAGAAUAAAUGUGGAUCUCUCUGUCUUCAUUCUGAGCACUGUUAAGAAUUCACCAUCCCUGGAACUGUUUUAUUUUCACAGAAUAAAUGUGGAUCUCUCUGUCUUUAUUUUGAGCACCAACAAACUGA